CCUACGGAGGCUGCAGUGAGGAAUAUUGGUCCAUGGGCGGAAGCCUGAACCAGCCAAGUAGCGUGCGGGAUGAAGGCCCUACGGGUCGUAAACCGCUUUUGCACGGGGAUAACACCCUCCACUGGUGGAGGUCUGCAGGUACUGUUCGCAUAAGGGCCAGCUAAUUCCGUGCCAGUAGCCGCGGUCAUACGGAAGGCUCGAUCGUUAUCCGGAUCCAGUGGGCUUGAAGGGAGCGUAGGCGGGCGUUCAAGUCUGCUGUAAAAUUGCGCGGCUCAACCGCGACCCGCAGUUGAACCUGGACGGCUUGAGUUCACGAGAGGCAGGCGGAAUUCGUGGUGUAGCGGUGAAAUGCAUAGAUAUUAGGAGGAACACCAGUGGCGAAGGCGGCUUACUGGACUGCAACUGACGUUGAGGCUCGAAAGCGUGGGGAGCAAACAGGAUUAGAUACCCCUGUAGUC
rnacentral:rRNA from 1 species